CCAAGAUUUUGGUAAAUGAUCAAGGAUUGCCCUUUUCCAUUAUAUUAAUGGAGGUGGUGCUGGGUCUGGGAUGGUGGUUGGGUGCAGAAGGGAGUUUAUGGUAAGGGAUUGACCUGUAGGAGAGGGUGUGGGGUCUGGGAGUGAGCUUGGGUGAAAGGCAAUUGUGACCUGGGUCAGGGGACUAGGGUGCAGGUGGUUGGGUUGUGCCCUGAGGCAGGGUUUUUAGGUCCAGGAUCUAAGAGAGGAUAUGAGUGCAGGGGUUUGCAUUAUGUGGGUGGAGGUGGGGGUGUAAGGUUGGCGUGCCAGAGGCAGGCUUUGGCCAGGAGACUGUUGAUUCCCAGCCAGCAGCCUUUUCAGGCAGAUUCACUGGCUGCAGGGCCAUGUGGUUUUUGAACAGGUACAAGCCUGAGAGGAGGGUGCUUUGCAAGCUGCCUGUUGACAUUGGCCAGAAACCGGCUAAUGGGACUGCUCUGGGCGUGGGAGCAGCACAUGAAGCCUCUUUUCCCCUCGCUUAGGGCUCUUAGCUGUUCUUACUGCAGCAGCUGCUUUUCUCAGUGGCGUAUGGGGGGCAGGCUGCCUCCCUGAGGCUCCCUGCUGCAUCCACAGGCCAGAUCUGGUCUGUGGGGUAUAUUUGCCUAGGCCUGGUCUACAGCAUGGUGGCUUUUAAAGCACAGAGAAUUUCUUGCCAGGUCCAUUGCCUAAAUAAAGAAACCAUUUCCACCUCCAUCCUGAAUUGUAUUGGGACUAAGGUGCAACAAACCCAUUUCUGGUGCUGCAGCUCAUUUGAGGCAUGUGUGUGGCAGUUCUGACUAGUGGAAGCACAGUGGGAUUUUCAAAAGUGCCUGAAUGACGUAGGGACACAAAUGCUGCCCCUACGUUGCCUGUGAGUCAAGUGCCCUCAACUUCAUCUCUAGUGCUCUGUGGUAUAAAGAUAGCAAAACUCUUCUGAUUGGAAACCAGCUGGUUAUUCUACUCCUGGGUAACUAUUAAUUCAGAUGUAGCUACAAAUCCAGAACUCUAGUUACAAGCAUGGGAAUUUAAACUUACAAAUUAGGGCUAAUAAAGUACAAGACUGUGGACUUCCAGUUGACCAGGUGACUUGACUGGGAGCAGGAGCAGGAUGCCAUCACUUCACUUUGGCUCUGCCAGCGUGUAGUCUUCUAUCUUGUAGUAUGUGGCUUUGCCUAAAUAUAUGAAUAAAAAUCUAACUUUCACGAAG